CACGUAGGCACCAAGCGUUGUCCGGAUUUAUUGGGCGUAAAGAGCUCGUAGGCGGUUCGAUAAGUCAGGUGUGAAAACUUUGGGCUCAACCCAAAGCGUGCAUUCGAUACUGUUGUGACUAGAGUUCGGUAGGGGAGUGGGGAAUUCCUAGUGUAGCGGUGAAAUGCGCAGAUAUUAGGAGGAACACCGGUGGCGAAGGCGCCACUCUGGGCCGAAACUGACGCUGAGGAGCGAAAGCGUGGGUAGCAAACAGG
rnacentral:rRNA from 1 species